rnacentral:antisense_RNA from 1 species
GAACACAAAAUGGCGACACGUGGUUAGCAUUCGUCGCCAACGAGAAAUUGGGGUCGGCCCGAAAGCUCUAGAAUGCACCCCUAUUCCUCCCCGGGGCCAUUCCCGCUCAACGAGUUUUAUGACCUAAAAAACCCCACAGGCUGGUCUGAAGAGGAAGACACUUAAAGAUGAAGUGCUUAAUUCAAGGUCACAGAAUGUCGGGGAUGGACCUCCAGAUUUCCUUACUGACCUGCAUUAUCUUGUGGAUACCUGAGUGAAUUCCACACCACCCAUUUUAUAGAUGAAGCCACUGAGACGUGGAGCAACUGACUGAGUAGUCACUGCCCCACCCCUGCCUGGAGCCUCACACAUGACUUCUCUUAGUGACCACAGGAAAACAAGCUCAGGGCUCCCACUGAUUGUACAUUAUGGUGAGACGUGGUCUUGUAACACAGUGGUUAAGAAUGUGACUUUGGAGCCAGCCUGCUAGGGGCUGAAUUCUGACUCAGCCAUUUAUUAACUGUGUGACCUUAGAUGGAGUCUCACUCUGUAGCCCAAGCUGGAGUGGCGUGAUCUCGACUCACUGCAACCUCCGCCUCCUGGGCUCAAGUGAUUCUCGUGCCUCAGCCUCCUGAGUAGCUGGGACUACAGUUGUCCCUUCACGUGGGAUUGCUUCCAGUACCUCUGUGUAUAACAAAAGCUGCACCAUUCAAGUCCCACAGUUGCUCUGCGAAACCUCUGUAUAUGAAAAGUUGGCCCUCCAUGUACAUGGGUUUCCCAUCCUGUCAUAGAAUUUUCCACACUCCUUGACGGAGGUUCUUAACCCUUAUCCAUCAGCAUUCUCAGACAGCACCUCCGGUUAGGGACAGUAUCUGACCGUCCGACAUCCCUGCAGCCCCCAU